GGAAACUGACCACAAGAGCUGGGCUUCUUACCUAAGCAAGUUUCCAGUGACCACUGGGGUUGUGUGACAGUGCCCAGGAAAUGGCGGUGCCCUGGGAGCAGGCUGCCCGCCGUCUGGCCUGCUUCGCUUGAGUGCCCUGUGGAUGGAAUGACCAGGGAGGUGCUGGUUCUGUUUGCUGUGUGAUCUCUGCUCAGUCUUUUCAAGUGGGAGAAAAGAAAACAAUUAGUUGACGUCACCCGUGUUGGAGAUCAACACGUACUAGCAGAGAUUGUCUUGUGUGGAAAAACUGUGUUUUCCUCAUAAAUGCAUAGUAGGGAUUUGCAUAUUAAAAGAAGCCACUUCAGGCAGAUAGGAGCUAUAGAGGCCUCACAAUAUCAUGGUAUGUCAGUUCCUUCAUGAGGCUUUUCUAAAGUCUUCCAGCCUGGUUUGACUUGUGAGAGGGAGAGAGAUACCCCUAGGACACUGGCUCUGAGAAAGGAGCCCUUGGGGCCUCUCCUGCCUGCACCAGCUACUCCUGGAGAGAAGAAACUGAAGGUGCCAUGUGCUGCAAGGAAGGGGAAUAAACCAGACAGUGGAGAAGUAGCCAUCAUUUUCCUUGAGGAACUGAAACCUAAGUGCGUGUCCCUCCAUAUUAGGAACUCUGUGUCUCAGGUAAUAAGGUCACAGCUCUCAGAAAGGGCCUUUUUACCUCAUUUAAUUACACCCACCCCCAUUUUUGCCGCCUGUCAGCAUCAAGCCAUUUAAAGACAUUAUUGCAUUCUUCCCUCUUCAUACCACUGGCUCAUUCCUGCCUUCCCAUCUAGCUUUGAUCAUUUCCAGGCAGUACAUGCUGGCACCUCCCCAACUC